rnacentral:misc_RNA from 1 species
CUUUCCUGCCUGCCGUAUGCCCAUCACGCCUUUGUGCAUCUCCCCCUUUCAAACUCUCCACCGUCUGGUGCACGUGAUAAGUGAAGAAGAAAGGGAGGACGUGCCGGCGUGAAACAUCUGCGUUGAUUUAGCACACACAUUCAUAUCGCACCGUCGCGCACGCACUGCAGGUUCCUUACACAAGAGCCUCUUGGUAUUGGACAACAGGGUACACAGAGCAAAAGGAGACGUGUUUGUGUCGUUUCUGCGCUCCUCGACACUAUCUUCGCCUUCCUCGUACGACUCGGCACAACGCCCCUUUUCCGCUGUCGGUGUCGCACGCCGGCCGCACUUGACGCGUCGUCGCGGCUGCUCUGCUCUUUCCCCGCACGUGACGCCUGCGGUGCUCUCCUCUCUACGACUCUUAUAGCUCGAAUGCCGAGCAAGGAGGCGUCGUCGCGCAACCUGCCGAUCAGCGGCCGCGACACAAACGGUAAGACGUACCGCUCCACGGAUGAAAUGUGGAAAGCGGAGCUGACGGGCGACCUGUAUGAUCCCGAGAAGGGUUGGUACGGCAAGGCGCUCGAGUACUGGCGCACCGUGCCUGCGACGGUGAGCGGCGUGCUGGGCGGCAUGGAUCAUAUCCAUGACGUGGACAUCGAAGGGUCUCGCGGCUUCAUUGAAAGCCUGCCAGGCCACGGAACAAGCCGCGCGUUGGACUGCGGCGCCGGCAUUGGGAGGAUUGCGAAGAACUUGCUGACGAAACUGUACGCCGCGACGGACUUGCUGGAGCCGGUGGAGCACAUGCUGGAGGAGGCCAAAAGGGAGCUGGCCGGCUUGCCCGUUGGCAAGUUCAUUUUAGCGUCCAUGGAAACGACAACGCUUCCGCCCAACACAUACGACCUGAUUGUGAUCCAGUGGACCGCGAUCUACCUCACCGACGACGACUUCGUGAAGUUCUUCAAGCACUGCCAACAGGCUUUGACACCGAACGGGUACAUCUUUUUCAAGGAGAACUGCUCCACUGGUGACCGCUUCCUUGUGGAUAAGGAGGACAGUAGCCUGACGCGGUCCGACAUACACUACAAACGACUCUUCAAUGAAAGCGGGGUCCGAGUGGUGAAAGAGGCGUUCCAGGAGGAGUGGCCAACAGACUUGUUCCCUGUGAAGAUGUACGCGCUCAAGUAGGAGAGGGCAGCAGGUGCAUUCGUUUACUCUUUUUCCUCUGCUCCGCUCACGUCGAUCAGCCACCCCCCUUCCCCCUUUCUUUGAAGGGCUCGUGAAUGUCGCCUUUUCAUGAAACAGGGGAGGGGAGGGCGCGGCGUCGCGGAGCGAGAUAAGAUGAGGCCUGACAUGAACGGCUGAUCACGUAUAAGAAACACACCCACACCCACACCCACACCCACAGAAGAAAACGGCAAGCGAAGAGCACCGUCACAGCUUAGCUUUUCCUUCUCCUAUACGAAGUUGUCGGGGACGACAAGGCUGCAGGAGCGACUUGAAUGCGCAUGCGCACCUUGGCGCUUUCUCACACACGCGCAUGAGUGAGGACGUGCCGUUGAUGUGUCUUGCGUUUGCUUCCUGCGCUCUCAAUGGGGGAGGGGGAGAGCCCGCGG